rnacentral:rRNA from 1 species
CCUACGGGAGGCAGCAGUGGGGAAUAUUGCACAAUGGGGGAAACCCUGAUGCAGCGACGCAGCGGGAGUGAAGAAGGAGUUCGGGAUGGAAAGCUCUAUCAGCAGGGAAGAAAAUGACGGUACCUGAGCAAGAAGCCCCGGCUAACGACGUCCCAGCAGCCGCGGUAAUACGUAGGGGGCAAGCGUUAUCCGGAUUUACUGGGUUUAAAGGGAGCGUAGAUGGCAGCACAAGUCUGGAGUGAAAUGCCGGGGCUUAACCCCGGAACUGCUUUGGAAACUGUGCAGCUAGAGUGCAGGAGAGGUAAGUGGAAUUCCUGGUGUAGCGGUGAAAUGCGUAGAUAUUAGGAGGAACACCAGUGGCGAAGGCGGCUUACUGGACUGUAACUGACGUUGAGGCUCGAAAGCGUGGGGAGCAAACAGGAUUAGAUACCCCUGUAGUC